AUGGGGAAACCCAACAUAUUUGCUUUCGCACACAAGGAAUGGAGAACAGAGAUUUUAAGUUCUGCUCAUUCAUUCACAUCGCCAGACUCCAUAGAAUUGAAGUUCUCAUCGUCAUCCAGGUUUCAGCAUGAGAUUCGGGACAAACUAGAUCUUGGUCUGAGUCAGGCUCAGCUCCUUCUGAAUUGUAUGAACCCACUAAAACCUCAGCAGAAUAGCAGCUUCAUGAAGGCAGGUUGGCUUCUGACCUGGUUACUUCUGACUGACCUCCUUCCCGGUGAUCUGGAGUACCAUCUGCCCUCAAAAAGAACAGCAUCUGAUGUGAGCCAAGCAUGGGACUGUUUUGGAAAAGCCCUCCUUGGAAAAGAAUGGAAAGGUAGAUGGAGGGCAAUGACCCAUGAAUUCACAACACAGGACAUCAUCCUCAAUGCCAGAACUUGUUGAGAAGCUCUGAUACUCCCAAAUGUUUUGUACUUGGAUUUGAAAUUUGAUUUCCCCUUUCCAUGCUUCCCUUGGAUGUGGUAUUCUGCUUCCACCACUUCCUGGACAAGAAAGUGAUGCAAAGGCAUGAGAAAAAAGUACUCUAGAAAAACAAAGCACAAUCUUCAGUUUUCCUGUAGGGAAAACCCAAGUAUUCCAG
rnacentral:lncRNA from 1 species